GUUCAGACUCGCUCAGAAUUUUUCUUGAAAUUGUUGUUUUCUUGCUAGUACGUAGCAUUAGCAGUUACCUUACAAGUUUUAAUUUCUUGUUUAGUUUUGCAAUGUCAGCCAAGGCCAAGGAUUAUUUCUAUCGGAUUUUUUGUAAAGAACCUUCGUUUACAGUGUGAUCCACCACUAAAGUCACGCAUUGGCUCUACUAAAUAAAGGUGGGAAGAGUUUACAAAGAUGCUGAGGAGUGUUAAGAGGGAGAUGAGCAUUCACAGCUUGAUAAAGGGACAAGGAGCUCUAGACACAAAGUGACAUGUGUCAGGCAAGAGUGUCAACAGCAGAAAAAAGGUGGAAUAUUCUGAUUAAAAGAUGAAGUCAAUUAAGCGUUCACAAAUUUGGUCAAUUUGACACGAACCGCUGUGUCGACAAGAUAAAUUCGCACAGCAAGGACAGCGAAACACCUGGCUACGAAGUUCUAAAGAGUAGCAGCCGAGAAACAUGAUUUCCCCUAACGAGUGGUCGCAGCCGACAGCUGGAAUUAUGAUACUAAGAUUGCUGAAGGACUUAUUUGAAAACAAAAAACGAGUUACAUAUUGGAUAUUAUGAUAUCAGUCAAUUUUCAAGGGCAUAUGAUAAGACUGGCGAUAUCUGCAGAACGUAUAAUAUUUAAAGUUUGUGACAAUUUUAGAUUCGAAACUCUGUGUAAUACUUCUUUAUAUAUAAGGUUCACUUUG